rnacentral:rRNA from 1 species
AGAGUUUGAUCAUGGCUCAGAUUGAACGCUGGCGGCAGGCCUAACACAUGCAAGUCGAACGGUAACAGGAAACAGCUUGCUGUCUCGCUGACGAGUGGCGGACGGGUGAGCAAUGUCUGGGAAACUGCCUGAUGGAGGGGGAUAACUACUGGAAACGGUAGCUAAUACCGCAUAACGUCGCAAGACCAAAGAGGGGGACCCUCGGGCCUCUUGCCAUCGGAUGUGCCCAGAUGGGAUUAGCUUGUUGGUGGGGUAACGGCUCACCAAGGCGGCGAUCCCUAGCUGGUCUGAGAGGAUGACCAGCCACACUGGAACUGAGACACGGUCCAGACUCCUACGGGAGGCAGCAGUGGGGAAUAUUGCACAAUGGGCGCAAGCCUGAUGCAGCCAUGCCGCGUGUAUGAAGAAGGCCUUCGGGUUGUAAAGUACUUUCAGCGGGGAGGAAGGGAGUAAAGUUAAUACCUUUGCUCAUUGACGUUACCCGCAGAAGAAGCACCGGCUAACUCCGUGCCAGCAGCCGCGGUAAUACGGAGGGUGCAGGCGUUAAUCGGAAUUACUGGGCGUAAAGCGCACGCAGGCGGUUUGUUAAGUCAGAUGUGAAAUCCCCGGGCUCAACCUGGGAACUGCAUCUGAUACUGGCAAGCUUGAGUCUCGUAGAGGGGGGUAGAAUUCCAGGUGUAGCGGUGAAAUGCGUAGAGAUCUGGAGGAAUACCGGUGGCGAAGGCGGCCCCCUGGACGAAGACUGACGCUCAGGUGCGAAAGCGUGGGGAGCAAACAGGAUUAGAUACCCUGGUAGUCCACGCCGUAAACGAUGUCGACUUGGAGGUUGUGCCCUUGAGGCGUGGCUUCCGGAGCU